GAUGAACGCUGGCGGCGUGCCUAAUACAUGCAAGUCGAGCGAACAGAUAAGGAGCUUGCUCCUUUGACGUUAGCGGCGGACGGGUGAGUAACACGUGGAUAACCUACCUAUAAGACUGGGAUAACUUCGGGAAACCGGAGCUAAUACCGGAUAACAUAUUGAACCGCAUGGUUCAAUAGUGAAAGGCGGCUUUGCUGUCACUUAUAGAUGGAUCCGCGCCGUAUUAGCUAGUUGGUAAGGUAACGGCUUACCAAGGCAACGAUACGUAGCCGACCUGAGAGGGUGAUCGGCCACACUGGAACUGAGACACGGUCCAGACUCCUACGGGAGGCAGCAGUAGGGAAUCUUCCGCAAUGGGCGAAAGCCUGACGGAGCAACGCCGCGUGAGUGAUGAAGGUCUUCGGAUCGUAAAACUCUGUUAUCAGGGAAGAACAAAUGUGUAAGUAACUGUGCACAUCUUGACGGUACCUGAACAGAAAGCCACGGCUAACUACGUG
rnacentral:rRNA from 1 species